CCGCGGUAAUACGGAGGAUGCGAGCGUUAUCCGGAUUUAUUGGGUUUAAAGGGUGCGUAGGCGGAUUGAUAAGUCAGUGGUGAAAACCUGCAGCUUAACUGUAGACUUGCCGUUGAUACUGUCAGUCUUGAGUGUGGUCAAGGUAGGCGGAAUGUGUAAUGUAGCGGUGAAAUGCUUAGAUAUUACACAGAACGCCGAUUGCGAAGGCAGCUUACUGGGCCAUUACUGACGCUGAUGCACGAAAGCGUGGGGAUCGAACAG
rnacentral:rRNA from 1 species